CCUUCUGGCGGGUUGUGUGCGGGAGCCUUCGGGCUCACCGGUGUCCUUGAGACCGGUCUGCUAACCGUAUGCAGCCCGCCUCUUUU
rnacentral:antisense_RNA from 1 species